GUGCACGCUGGCGGUAGGCCUAACACAUGCCAGUCGAACGGCAGCACAGUAAGAGCUUGCUCUUACGGGUGGCGAGUGGCGGACGGGUGAGGAAUACAUCGGAAUCUACUUUUUCGUGGGGGAUAACGUAGGGAAACUUACGCUAAUACCGCAUACGACCUACGGGUGAAAGCAGGGGAUCUUCGGACCUUGCGCGAUUGAAUGAGCCGAUGUCGGAUUAGCUAGUUGGCGGGGUAAAGGCCCACCAAGGCGACGAUCCGUAGCUGGUCUGAGAGGAUGAUCAGCCACACUGGAACUGAGACACGGUCCAGACUCCUACGGGAGGCAGCAGUGGGGAAUAUUGGACAAUGGGCGCAAGCCUGAUCCAGCCAUACCGCGUGGGUGAAGAAGGUCUUCGGGUUGUAAAGCCCUUUUGUUGGGAAAGAAAAGCAGCAGGUUAAUACCCCGCUGUUCUGACGGUACCCAAAGAAUAAGCACCGGCUAACUUCGUG
rnacentral:rRNA from 1 species